rnacentral:rRNA from 1 species
GCAGUCGAGCGGUAACAUUUCUAGCUUGCUAGAAGAUGACGAGCGGCGGACGGGUGAGUAACGCGUAGGAAUCUGCCUAGUAGUGGGGGACAACAUGUGGAAACGCAUGCUAAUACCGCAUACGCCCUACGGGGGAAAGGAGGGGAUCUUCGGACCUUUCGCUAUUAGAUGAGCCUGCGUGAGAUUAGCUAGUUGGUGGGGUAAAGGCCUACCAAGGCGACGAUCUCUAGCUGGUCUGAGAGGAUGAUCAGCCACACUGGGACUGAGACACGGCCCAGACUCCUACGGGAGGCAGCAGUGGGGAAUAUUGGACAAUGGGCGCAAGCCUGAUCCAGCCAUGCCGCGUGUGUGAAGAAGGCCUUAGGGUUGUAAAGCACUUUCAGGAGUGAGGAAGGGUAUGCAGUUAAUACCUGUAUGUUUUGACGUUAACUCCAGAAGAAGCACCGGCUAACUCUGUGCCAGCAGCCGCGGUAAUACAGAGGGUGCGAGCGUUAAUCGGAAUUACUGGGCGUAAAGCGCGCGUACGCGGUUUGUUAAGUCGGAUGUGACAUCCCAGGGCUCAACCUUGGAAUGGCACCCGAUACUGGCAGGCUAGAGUACGGUAGAGGGGUGUGG